rnacentral:lncRNA from 1 species
CCCAUCUAUACUAAUUAUCCAUCAUCCCCAAAAGAUUUAACUUUAUUAAUCCAGUGUUAAAAGCAGGGAUCCAUAAAUGGAGUUUUAAUUCAGAAAUAUCCUACUAUAGCCCAGUGUUUCCAGCAUAAUGAAUUCACUAUGUAAUUAAAAGUUUGAUUAAACUAGAACCUACAAAAAUAUCAUGUUUCUGAACUAAUGUCCAUAGAUAGACUCAAAGGUCACCCAGUACUCUCUAUAGCUUAGAUAUAUUCAAAUAAUUUACUAUACACUUUUCCAAAGCAAAGCAAAAAAAAAAAGCGUUAUUUCUAUGGUUAUAAAAGAAGCGUUUAUCUGCUUGAAAAAAUUGCAAAGUCUGUGUGAGUGGGGUCUGUCGUGGGUCAAGCUGCAAAGAUCCGGCCUGCAUCUACCACAAGAGGGCAGUAGCACUCAACCGUUAAUAGGGAACCCAGCAGAGCGCUGGAGGCUCAUUAGAGGAAUCGUUAGAGCCGGUCGUUAACGCAUCAACCUCUGGAAAGGACAGGGAAACAGGAACCACCGUCCAGACACUUUCGGAGCUUCUGUCUCGGUAACAAUAACACAGGAAAUAAGCAACAGGGUCUUGUGAAAGACAGCGACCUCGCUCACCAUCCCCGUGUCGUUGAAUCACCAUGGAGAUGGCGACUAGCUUAAUAAUGGCUUGCAGAUGGGCGUCUGCUCACGUGGAUGUUCAGAUAAGAACACUGUGGCAGGGGUCAAAGGAACAGAGCUCUUCAUGGGCAUUAGGGAAGGGCGGAAGAAAAGCUGAGGGGAGCAGCAGAGCUGUUUUGUCUCCGAAAAUAAGGACUUUUAGGAGUGUCCUAGGGUGAAUUUUAUUUAGCUUCAUAGCAUUGAAACAUUAUCUUUGGAAACCUGUAUCAUUUACCUUGCAGGGUUUCCAGGAAACUAAUUAACAGAAAGAGAGAUGAAUUGGCCGAGCGCGGUUGCUCACGCCUGUAAUCCCAGCACCUUGGGAGGCCGGAUCAUCUGAGGUCACGAGUUCGAGACCAGCCUGGCCAACAUGAUGAAACCCCGUCUCUACCAAAAAUAUAAAAAUUAGCCAGGCCUGGUGAUGGGCGUCUGUAAUCCCAGCUACUUGGGAGGCUGAGGCAGGAAAAUCGCUUGAACCCAGGAGACGGAGGUUGCAGUGAGCCCACAAGGUGCCACUGCACUCCAGCCUGGGCGACAGAGUGAGACUCCAUCUCAAAAAACGAAACAAACAAACAAAACAAAACAAAAAACAGAAAGAGAGAUGAAUUAUAACAAAUGCACCUUCAAUAUUUUAAAUCAUUCCCGAACUGAAGUAUGGAAAUUUGGUAAUGUUGUCAUUGAACAUCUAUACCACUGGAUACACAUCUGUUCAGCUCUCAUGAAGAUAACCAAACAACUAAAUAGUGGUAUUACACCUCCGUUGCCCUCCAAGACUGACAAUUAUAUGUAUGCAAAAAUGCCAGGGGAAGGUUUGCAAGAGAAGUGAUAAUGGAUGAUAAUGGAAUUGAUACUGUAUUUAGGAUCCUUUGUUUGUUAUCAGUUUUGUUUGUUAACUAUAAAAUAUUUUCCAUUGGAAAGGGGUACCUAUAAAUGUCUUCUGCUGCUAAUAUUUAUCUCAGCACUUUCUAAACCCAAAAGUGCUACCUAAGAAGAAAUUUAGCCAAAAAAUACCCAGCUAAGGUAGCCAUAGCCAAGUGUAUUUAAGUAUGUUAUAGAAUAUAUUUGAAAGCUUCCUUUCAGUUUGAGCUUUGUAUCUGCUGUGGAACUGUUAUGGUUGAUUGGGUAGUUAUUUUUCAUUCUUAUAAGGUUCAAAGUAACAGCUGAGGAUUUAGAAAACAAGAAUACCAAAUAGAAUACGAAAUAAUAAAGAUAAACCAAAAGAAUACCAAAUAAUAAAGAUUUUUAAGAAAUGGA